AGAACAGCAGGUGACUUGUUAGCAGACCCAAGAUGCUUCUGGAAGCAAAGCAGUGGUUCUGUAUGAUUCAUCAUACCUUUUGGAUCACCAUGCUUGUCCAUCAAGCUUCUGUGCUGGAUUGCACCGUGAGGGUGUUGCAUGCACCCACCUUUCUGCCACGAGCCUCCUACCUUAUGUUCAGCCCAGAGAGCCUGACCAUGGAUAACGGGAUCAACAACCUCUGAGGAGCCUGAGCCAGUGGACACAGGGAGCCUUCAAGCCUCCAUCACCUUCCAGCUUGUGCUGUAGGACACUCACCUGGCUCGAGUCCUCCGCUUCCCCAGUUCAGCUUCCUCUAACAAGAGUAUCUGUCUGGAGCAGAGCCCAGGCCUGUGAGCUGCACCCAUUUCUCGGAGCGAUGCAGAGUCACUCGAUGCAAGUUUGCACUCAAAGAUCUGCUGUGAAGAAUUAAGUAGGAUUUUUUUUUCCCACAGACAUUCCAUGUCAUCCCUGGGAAUUCUCCCUGAUCUCUGUGGGUACUUCUGCACCAGACAGAUCCAGAGGGCCCCUGAAUCCAGAGAUCACAGGUGCAACCAGUGUUAAGAAGGGGGACAGUGCAUCUUCCCUGGCCUUGUGGGAUCCCCAUGAGCUCAUCCCAGCACCGAGCAUGGAUGGGAGCAACUCAGGGAGCACAGCAUCACCUUCCCUUCACGACCCUCUGCAUGAGGCUGCUGGAUCUGUGGCUGCAGACGUUGAAGGACUGCAAUGUCUCUGUGUAAAAAUGGAACAGGUUACCUGAGCAAUGGUUGAGAAGAGGACUGCAACCAGGGCAUCUCAAUGGCAUUUGAAGGUAACAAAAUGUCUAUGGGGUGAGUAAAUCUGUGUAUUAGUACCAGCACCAAGUCCCUUGAUGCAUUCUCAGUAAGUUAGAAGUUGCAGCAUGUAGAAAGCUGUGACAAAGAAGGUGUGACAGUUAAAAAGGAAAUAUCAAAAAUAAAGUAAAAUAAAUCUUUGAACGAGCUGAACUCUAAAUAAUUAAAACUCGCAAAAAGUGUAAGAAGUGAAGCAGAAAUAAUUGUUGGUGCUAAUGUUUAAAAGCUAUGAAAUGCCUGCAUGUGUCCAGGCAUCAUUUUCUUUUCUAAGAUGUCAGAUUUUACAUGACAGAAAGUUAUCACCCCCAGACUGGUAUUUUUGGAACUGCUCAGUGUCUAAUCAGUUAGUGAGAGUAGUUAACAAUUGCAAGCCUCAUGCCUGGAAAUAAAAUCAACGUGAGUGUUCCUGCUGUUGGCUGAGUUGGGCUGGGGGUGGGCAGGUUGGUGGUGGACAGUGAUGGGACCUUCAGUGCCCAACAGAUGCCCACUUUACCCACUCCAAUAUGCUUUUAAUCAUAACUUGCUUUCUAUCCCUACUAGCGAGGAUUUGGGUGGGUCAGCGGGAGCACAGAAACCCAAACAGUAAGUGGUACCCUGGAUCUUAACCUAGAGGCAUAACAGCCAUUUCACUCUAUAAAUCUAUAAAUAUUGCUACAAGCCUUUUGUUGUAACGUUGCUGGAAGAGCUUUUAUUUUCAUAUUGCAAAAAUAGGAAGAAAGCGUUGAGUUAAGACGAUGCUGUAGCCAGCAGGAACAAGGGAGAGUAGCGGCGCUCUGUGACAGCAGAAAUAAAAGCACAAGCAGGGAACCACACUGCAAACCAUACCCACCAGGAACUACUAAAAACCAGGAGCUGCCCCAUGCAGGCUGGAGAGCUGCCACCCGUGGAGAGAGAGAACCCUGGAGCUGCACAGGGCACAGCUGUGGAGGGCAAGCUGGGGAGUCACGCUGUGCUUGUGAGGGAAGGAGAGCUGGGGGAGCAGGGGAUGAAGUUUCUAAGCAUUGCAAUUUUGCUGUGAUUUGUUCAGGAUGGGCUGCUCACCCAUGAAGCAGGAGAUAGCUGCUUUUUUUUCUGCUUUUUAUUUCUUUUCUUACUUUUUUGUUUUUCUUCUCUAUUGCUGCAGAGCUUUUGUCAGGUCAGUGAGUUGAAACAUCCUCCAGCAGGGUCAGACAGGAGGUACAGACAGCCCAAAAAGGGCUUCUCAGAGAGGGACAUGGGAGAGGCAUAAAGAGGGAACAGGGAAUGAGAGAAGCUGCGAGUCUGGUGUGUCCCAGCUUGUGCCCCUUCCUCCUGAGCCUGGUGCUGCAGAGGCUGUGUGGGUCAUCUUGGAGCUGAGGCCUCCAGGUCCUGCUGUGGGUGUCGAUGGCCUCAAAGCUGUCAAAGUUGUGAGCACGGCAGGUCCACUUGGCAUCCACAGCUCCCAUCCCAAAUAGGUGUGCUUGAACACUUCCCAACCACUGUUAAGAGAGGGCCAGUGGAGACAGGGUGUGCAGUAUCUACCAUGAGUGAAGUGACUGCUCUGGUAGCUGUGUGUUCCUCUGCUAGUUAAUCCCCACUGUCCUCACUGUUGAUUUAAAUACCUUUAUGUGGCAUUUGCAGACUAAUGGAGCACGGGGACCCAGAAGGAGCCUCUGAAAGGUUGUCUGAUAUGAUCCACAUAAAUCAGAGCCCAUUCAUUCUUGCACAUGAUCCCCUGCCUGUGUAGACGUGGCUUCUGCAGCAAAAAAUAGAGAUAAGUAGCAAAAGCUGCUUAAGGAGAAGUCUCAUUGUACGUGUUAUGACAGUAGGGAGAGGGAUUAAUCCUGGCAGUGUUUCCCUUGUAUUUGUUAAGGCGGAUGAUACACAGUGACAAUGGCAGCUGCUCCUUUCCAGAGCUCUGCUGAGAAAACCUUACCUGUAUCCUUCAGAGGUGCAUAAUGCAUCAUUCCUAGCUCACAGGGGUGAUCAAG